rnacentral:rRNA from 1 species
CCUACGGGAGGCAGCAGUGGGGAAUUUUGGACAAUGGGCGAAAGCCUGAUCCAGCCAUUCCGCGUGAGUGAAGAAGGCCUUCGGGUUGUAAAGCUCUUUCGCAAGGGAAGAAAACUUAGUCUCUAACAUAGACUGAGGUUGACGGUACCUUGAUAAGAAGCACCGGCUAACUACGUGCCAGCAGCCGCGGUAAUACGUAGGGUGCGAGCGUUAAUCGGAAUUACUGGGCGUAAAGCGUGCGCAGGCGGUUUUGUAAGUCAGAUGUGAAAUCCCCGAGCUCAACUUGGGAACUGCGUUUGAAACUACAAGACUAGAAUAUGUCAGAGGGGGGUAGAAUUCCACGUGUAGCAGUGAAAUGCGUAGAGAUGUGGAGGAAUACCAAUGGCGAAGGCAGCCCCCUGGGAUAAUAUUGACGCUCAUGCACGAAAGCGUGGGGAGCAAACAGGAUUAGAUACCCUGGUAGUCCACGCCCUAAACGAUGUCUACUAGUUGUUGGUGGAGUAAAAUCCAUGAGUAACGCAGCUAACGCGUGAAGUAGACCGCCUGGGGAGUACGGUCGCAAGAUUAAAACUCAAAUGAAUUGACGGCUGAGACGNGCGAGGACGACGACGAGGGAGGAGG